CAUCUUUUUCAACUCGAGAAAAAAAAUUCCCCUACCGGCACAUCAAGACCCACCGGCGAAGCUUCACCAUCAUCCACGUACGAGCACUUUCGGUUCAGAUUCAUCCUUGGUCCCCGUUGAACUCACCAUCAUCCACGUACAGACCCACCAUAUGUAAUAGCCAACCUUGUGAUAUAUCUGGAUUUUGGGGGAUUCUUCCAUAAUUCCAUUCAUGCCAAUAGCAGAUGUGGUAAUUGACUAAGCUUCUGGUUAUGAGGUCCCCUCCUGCAUUUGACUUAUAAGGAAAGUCAUCACAAAUACAAUAGUCAGUGGAAUGGCAUUUGUGUGCGUGAUGUUAGCCGGAUGAAGUAAGACAGGCUCCCUUCACGAGCUAGUCUAAUCAACGAGACGGGCGCCCCUUUACUCCAUUACUGGCCAAGAUGGUUUUGAAAUCUUCUGUCUUUCAAGGAUCGCCACGGUCGUGACACGAAUUUUGACCAUGCGUCAGACCCAUUUCCUCGUCGGUAAAUUCAUAGCUCACCGGCGUCAAUCAUCUUUGCGACCCUAUUGGACGGGCUUGCAGUUUGUAGACCGCCUCCGGGAACUGCGCCGCCAUGCUGUACACCACGAACCAGCCACCGUCUGUGCCAGAACCGUCGCCGCCGCCAGUACCUUCGGCGGCGCCAUAACUCGCCGUCGUUGUUCCACCAUCUUCCUUGUAGCCCGUUGAUCUCCAUCAUGCUUGCUGUCGUUGCUCGUCGAAAAUUGUUAAUGAAACCCAUCGAGAAUUUUUUGGUGUUCUACAACAGCCAUUACAAUGGCCUUUUAGAAAGGUGUAAGAGAAAAAGGAUGUUUGGUUAAAGGUACUUCCUUAUCCUAAACUAGUUUGAGAUUGAAGGAGUUCAAAGUUUGGUAUGGGCAUUUUUGGAAGAGUAAAAGGAUAAAAUUGACAUUAUAGUACUAAUUUAUAUCAAAUUUUUUUAUUGAUGGGAUGUUUUCGCAUAAUGUGAAAAGAAUAUGGGUGUUUUUUGUACACCUUUUCAAAUAAGGGAUAAAAGAGCUACGAAAAAUA